CCUUUGCUAUUUCUUAUACACUGCUCAAAAGAAAAUUCAGGAGAGUGACGUCAUCAGAAGUGGUGGAGUGGGCAGUUCCAAGGCUUUGUCCCUCCACAAAAUCAACUAAUGAGCUGGCAAUAACCCGAAGAGUCAACUGUUACAGGAUUCUGAAAUCAGCCAAAAACUUACACAAACCAGGGAAAGACCAGCUGAAGAAAGAAGCUGCUGCUUCAUGCUUCGUGGGGAUAACAAAAUCUGUCCAGUCACUGCCACCCGGAUUGCUGCUUGUCCUCAUGUUACUCUCCGUCUCUCGAUUUGACUAGAAGAAGGUAUAACCUGGCUCCAGGACACCUCUUGGUCACAUCUUCACUGCUUACCGUGAGCUUCAGGAGGAAGCAGAACCACAAAAGAGCCUUUCUGGGCUUAGGCAUCCUGAUAUCCAUCAUCCUGUCACUCUACCAAUGUAUUGUCGGUGGGAGGAAUGAUACACUUAGACUCCCAGGCUUCUGAGAUUUAACGGAUCAGCCUUUAAGGCUCCCAGGAUUUAAGCAGGAUCUCAAAGUUUCUUUAGGAUAUUUUUAUUUCCAAGUGCAAUGUCAAUCUCUGAGACCUAUUGAAGUUGGAAUCUUCUUUGACAUUAUACUCAUUAAACUAAAGAUGGAUAUUUGUUCUAAGGCUGUUUGUGUUUCCCUAAUUCUACAAUAGAAAAGAAGAAAGAAUAAAAGCCGUGAGUAAAUUUGAUUCAGAGGUUUUCAAAUCAACUAGAAGAUGGAAUUCUUCAGCACGAUUUCUUAUCUCUUUAGCAAACCAACUUAGAGAGGAAAAUCGUAGAAGACCUGAAAUGUCAAUUCAAUUGGGACAUGUGAUAAAGAACUGUAAUGUGG
rnacentral:lncRNA from 1 species